ensembl:ncRNA lncRNA:CR44918 long non-coding RNA:CR44918
CCCCGAAAAGCUUUGAUCCGGAAUGUCGUUGACUCAGGCGGCACCUGAAAGCCGAGCCCGAUAUCAGAAGAUAUUUCGAUUCGCAGCAUAUACGUCUGGCAUUCGAAAACAAUUUUCGAAUUGGGGAUAAACAGGAUGUCGUACUAGACCAUAUGUUAGUAACAAAAAUAAACAAAACCUUCUAUUGGCAGCUCAAGAUUCUUUGCUGGCUCCCUUUACCACCAUUCCCCCUAAAUCUUGGGAUACCAAUAAUAUUUAAUCCAAUCUAACCCAGAGUUUGAUCAAUUAACUGAACUGUGAACACUGUGACUUUCAUCACUUCUGAGCCUGGCGACUGCCACGGAAACCAAACCAGAGCAGCCCAUUAUUCCGCGAUGGAGUUGGAGUUGGAACCAAGCAACUCUAUUGAAUUGCACAUGGGGCCAGUGGGCCAAUAUGAAAUUAUCAAAACGCAACUGACAACUGCCGGUGAAACUGAAGUGGACAAGGAUACCGUUACAGUCUAUACAAAUGUCGCCGACGCCGCACACGCACUUUGACACACGCAGUUUUCCGAACAGGUGGAAUCCAGGUGGUUUCACCAGUGAUGAGCUCUCCUUCGAAGCCAUUAAAAUGCAACAUUUUUAGUUAAAAUCAAAUGUCUCACUCUCUGAAAGCAUUCGGAGGAAUUAUUCUUCAAAUAAUUUAACCGUCUGAGCUUUUUUUAUUAAGGCAUUUCAGCUAACAUUCCAAAAAAAUUUAAAUGUUAGUAGAGACUUGAUUGUAAUCUGUAAUCUGUAUCCCAAUCCUGAAUAGAAAGUAGCUAAUAUCUUAUUACACCACAGUUCCCAAGUACGUGGGAUAAACAAUUGUGUCAUCACUGGGGAGAAAACCACCACUAUGAGAAUGAUGUAUGAAUUGCUUUGAAUUUAGUUGUCAAAGCUAUGUUCUGUUGAAUGCGGAGCAUGGAUAUCACAGCGCUUCGUAAAUUGUUAAAAUGUGUCAGAAUUGCACAAAACGCGGCAUAGCAUGUACAACAAAACCAGCGAAAAAUGGCAGUAGAACGCAGCUGACAGUAGGGUUUGACAACAAAAGUGAGCAUAACUGACAGCACGGAGGAAAGUCUACAACAGUGGCAAAAAUCAAAGCAAUUCCCUCAAAAGGGAAAAAGGAUUGUGUGAAAUUAACAGGCGUAUGUUAAAUCAUUACUUUUACGAAACUAUUUCAAAUCAUUCCUGUCAUGCCGUGACAGUACUUUAAGUUUAAUUGUACCUUAAUAAAAGGAGUAUAGACACUA